UACACUACCUUUCCUAAUUAGUUAGCCAAGGAGGUCCCAUACCACCCUCGUGGUAUCAUUGUUUUCUCGAGUGGUUCUCCAUGUUCCAAUUAAUACAAUAAUCUUAUCAUGAACAAUAAUUAAGCCAACAAUAAUGUUAAAAGCAUGAUCAUAAUUCAGAUAUAAUAUUAAUCCCAAAACUAGGUAGAGCAGUAGCAAGACUACCAAAUAAUUCAUCUGUAUGCAAUGUGUAGGGUGACAAAACAAGGUAACAUAUUAGGUCCCGUCAAUUUAACCUAAGCAUGCCAUGGUGAUUAUCAAAAACAUAAACAUUAUUAGGCCAAAGAAUGUGAUCAAGGACACAACUUGCCUUUUACUUGCGAUUCCAGGUACUUCCCCAAGUUUGGGCUUCGGGUUCCUCAUGAUCUCGCUUCUACUCAUAGCAAUAUAUACAAAUAAGCAAAUAAUGGAUACAAUAACAUUACAUCAAAACAUAGGAACAAAAUGUGUAUUCAUAUUCUAUGUGUCCAUACCAGAUCUAAGGUUUAAGAACCACUAAAAUCAAAGGUAAAUGGAGGAGUUAUGAAUUAAUUAAGCUUUUUGGGAUUAUUUUUGUACUAGAAAUUGAUUUUCGGAAUUAAUUUAUAUAAAUUCAAAAAUCAUGGGACUGUGGGUUCUAAAUUUUCAAAGCUCAGGGUCUAUCUUGCAAGAAUUCGGACCUAGUUGUAACAUUCUCUGCAUAAGGAAGGAUGGUGGGUAGAUUCAAUAAGAGUAGAGGGUCUCUUUAUAAAGAUUGGCUCAGCGGGAUAGGCGGGGACGACCUGGACCAACCUGAUCAGAUUCGACGAUUGUGGUGUAGGGCGCAAAGGGGUAUCAGCUAAUUUAAUCAUGAUCUCUCUUCCCCAAAUCAACGAUCAAGAUUACAAACCGAAAAGGAUACUCUAGAGAUCUAAUCCUAGUCUCAUGCUCAACGAUCAAUGUCUCAUAUCCUACCAACUCCUUCUUCUAUCGCUGACCAAACACGGUGGUGCCUGCGCUCUCAAUGCGGUGGCGGCCAUCACCGGCACCCGCACCCUAGCGCCCUGAUGCCCGAACUCUACUGCGAAUGAGUGCUACAUGAAGCAGAUAAUAAAUCGAAAUGAAAGGAAAGGGUCUCACCAACAGCGAGGGUAGCGAUGAAGUUGUCCACGAUGCACAGAAGUUCCACGGUGGUGCCGUCGCUACGGUGAGAAAACUGGCCAGCACAGAAGGCCUCUGCAGCC
rnacentral:lncRNA from 1 species